rnacentral:rRNA from 1 species
UACGUAGGGUGCGAGCGUUAAUCGGAAUACUGGGCGUAAAGCGUGCGCAGGCGGUGAUGUAAGACAGGUGUGAAAUCCCCGGGCUUAACCUGGGAACUGCAUUUGUGACUGCAUCGCUGGAGUACGGCAGAGGGGGAUGGAAUUCCGCGUGUAGCAGUGAAAUGCGUAGAUAUGCGGAGGAACACCGAUGGCGAAGGCAAUCCCCUGGGCCUGUACUGACGCUCAUGCACGAAAGCGUGGGGAGCAAACAGG